rnacentral:tRNA from 1 species
GGACGAUUAGCUCAGCUGGGUGGGAGAGCGUCUGCCUUACAAGCAGGAUGUCGGCAGUUCGAUCCUGUCAUCGUCCACCA